UACGAGGGGGGCUAGCGUUAUUCGGAAUGAUUGGGCGUAAAGCGCACGUAGGCUGCUUAGUAAGUUGAAAGCAAAAUCCCAUAGCCCAACUGUGGAAAGCAUUUCAAAACUAUUAAGCUCGAGUUUGGGAGAGGAUAGUGGAAUUUCUAGUGUAGAGUUAAAAUCCGUUGAUAUUAGAAGGACCUCCAGAGGCGAAAGCGACUAUCUGGCCCAAUAAAGUUAAAAAUACUGACGCUGAGGUGCGAAAGCGUGGGGAGCAAACAGG
rnacentral:misc_RNA from 1 species